rnacentral:rRNA from 1 species
AUGGUCGGAAGCCGCCGCCGCCGCCGCGGAAGAGGGCGGCUGCUGCAGGAGGGUGCCGAACCCUCGCAGCUGGCAGACGCCACUCUCAUCUGCAGAGAAGUUGCCACUGUAGAGAGGCCCUCUAAGAACACCUGCCUCGCUCAGCCUCAGCCUCUACCUCCUUGGCUAUAUCUGGACCUUAUGUUUGUGCAGAUCUCCUGGACAGCCUGCUUCAUGAAAUCAUUGCUCUCUUUAACUCAUUCCGUGACUUCCUUGCUUUCGCUGGCACUUGCCGCUCUUGGCGCGCUGCAGUCUCUACCUUUCCCUCUGUGUAUACAUUCGGCUUCCCGCCAUUCCACUUGA